UAACCACCAGGGGCUGAAGCUGACCUAGAAUCUGUGCUGAGAGAAAUUUAACCCCACGAUGGCACGCAAGAGGGCUGCCCCCCAUUCUCCAGGCACUCAUGGGCAGCCCUCAGGUUGUCAGCCCUCGGGAAUCUCUCAGGCACGGAAUGAGGCCCAGCGUGUGGAUGUAGCCCUGUUGACCAGCAUUGCUUAACAGAUGGCUUCCAAGGAGUCAAGAAUGGACCAAGGGAUGAGAGGAACCAAAUAUGAUGCUGGCCGACAAUGCAUAAAUAUCAUAUAAGUCAUCCACUUAUUGAGCACCCUGCCAUGGACCAGGCACCUAUCACUACUCAUCAAGCCCAAAGAAAAGCAGCUCAAGUGUCCACUGACAUGAAUGGACAAGUGGAAUAUUGGCCUUACAAAGGAAGGAAAACUGGACCCACGCUAUGCCAUGGGGCUGCAUAUAAAAGCUCACUGUGACUUAAUAGUAUGAUGUCUAUUCAUACUGUGAAGUCAUUAGCAACAGAGCCAUCCUGCUGAGAGCAAAGAGGAAAUGCCACAUAUGACCGAAGACAAAAUUAUCUACCAAAUCAAGACCUGGACGUCUCAAAUACAUUUGGCACAGAAGACAUCAGAUUAAGAACAUGUUCUAGCAGAGGGAUUAGGUUAAAUAACCCAUGCCAAGAGCUUUAAGAAGCAGCAGACACAUCUCUUAUGGAGGCAUAAAGAGUCCUCCAGCAGCUCAAAAAUACUUACUAAGCACCUAUUAUGAGCCAAGCACCACACUAGGUUCUAGGGAUAUAAUAACAAAUGAAACUUGACUUUCCUUCAAAUAUCUCAGGGUCUACGGUGGGGAUAGAUGGGUAUUAAUAAGACGUGAUAUUGAUGUAACAGAACAUACAUAGAUAGUGUUAACACAGCAAGAUAGAAGAAGGCAUGGCGGACUCAAGGCAGACUUGCUUGAGGAGGGACAGCUUAGGGCGCACUGAAGACAUCCGUGGCAGGAAGAAGAAAGCCAUGGGAAGUGUUCCUGAGCGGAACAUGCACAGAGAGGACAGCUCACAGACCAAGCACCACUCUGGUCCCUGGAGUUAGGAGAAAUCAGACAGGGUCUUGCCCUCCUACUUGUUAAUCUUCUCCAGCCUCAACUUUCACAUCUAUAAAAUAAGGGGAGCAAGUGGAACUCUUCCCAAGGGACUAGACACCCAGAACGAGCUUGAUACACGUAGCUGUUACCAUGAAAAUAAUGUCUUUUCUAAAACAGAGAGACGUAGUAUGGCAAGGAUUCAGAGAAGCACCGGAUUCUUGCAAUGGGCGCUGACUUUGAUGUCCACUCAUGGCCUUGCGUGAAGUUUUCAUGUCCAAUAAAAUGAUGCUUUAGACAUGUAAA